AACAUUUCCUAAACCUAAUAAAAACAUUCUCCCGUUUCCCCUUCCCUGCCGCCAUCCCCCUUCCCCAUUUUCCCGUUCUUUCUUCAACAACGCUUCUCUUUUCCCAGGAACAGAGCAACCAAAGGAAUUAUUGGCUAGAUAGCCCGGCACCUUCUCUCGUUCCAAGUAUUGAGUGGAAUCUUGAAGAUUAUGAUGUAAUGUUGGGAGGAGCCACAGUUCGUCGAAAAAACAUUACCAAAAUGAGAUGAAAAUUCUCAAAAGUUUAUAGAAAAGUAUAUAGGGUACAAUUUAAUCUAUUGAAUGCAAGAAGAUCAAGGAUUUAGCCUUGAUGCAAAGAGUGAAAUAACUUCAUCCUUGACUGCAGAAAAUCAUCUGGUGGCAACAUGUUCAAUCCUCAAAUCAAUGACUUAGAACUUGGUUUUGUUUUGAUGUGGAACCCUUCCGAAUUUUAUAGAUUAUAGUUAAAUAACCGAGUCUACUUUAGAUAGACAAUUGUAUUUUUAGAAUUUUUUUUUGAAACUAUUUAGAUGCCAAUUUGUAUAAUAAAGUGAUAUUCAAAGUU